CAGUCGCCACGGGAAUACGGAGGGUGCAAGCGUUAAUCGGAAUUACUGGGCGUAAAGCGCACGCAGGCGGUCUGACAAGUCAGAUGUGAAAUCCCCGGGCUUAACCUGGGAACUGCAUUUGAAACUGUCAGGCUGGAGUCUUGUAGAGGGGGGUGGAAUUCCAGGUGUAGCGGUGAAAUGCGUAGAGAUCUGGAGGAAUACCGGUGGCGAAGGCGGCCCCCUGGACAAAGACUGACGCUCAGGUGCGAAAGCGUGGGGAGCAAACAGGAUUAGAUACCUGCGUAGUCCCUGUCUCUUAUAC
rnacentral:rRNA from 1 species